GGCACUGUGGCUUAGUUGGAUAAAGUGCCUGUCUUGUAAACAGGAAGUCCUGAGUUCCACUCUCAGCAGUGCCU
rfam:Xenopus laevis strain J chromosome 3L, whole genome shotgun sequence.